rnacentral:RNase_P_RNA from 1 species
GGAGCCGGCCAGACAGUCGCGUCAUCGGAAACGGUGCCGAGGAAAGUCCGGGCUCCACAGGGCACGGUGCCAGGUAACGCCUGGGCGGGGCGACCCGACGGAAAGUGCAACAGAGAGCAGACCGCCGAUGGCCCUCACGGGAUCAGGCAAGGGUGAAACGGUGCGGUAAGAGCGCACCGCGAGUCCGGCAACGGACCGGCACGGCAAACCCCACCGGGAGCAAGACCAAAUAGGGAGGCGAUGCCGCGGCCCGCGGUGCCUCCGGGUAGGUUGCUUGAGCGCAGGGGGUGACCCCUCGCCGAGAGGAAUGACUGUCCACGACAGAACCCGGCUUACCGGCCGGCUCCGCCA